GCGCACGUGGUGGAAUUGGUAGACACGCCAUCUUGAGGGGGUGGUGGGCGCAAGCCCGUGGAAGUUCGAAUCUUCUCGUGCGCA
rnacentral:tRNA from 2 species